CCCACCUGACCCCAUGCCGAACUCAGAAGUGAAACGCCGUAGCGCCGAUGGUAGUGUGGGGUCUCCCCAUGUGAGAGAAGGGAACUGCCAGGC
rnacentral:rRNA from 1 species